UUUUCUUUUUCUUCUUCUCCGGUGAGGUGUGGACCAUCUGGAGAGGAGCUUCUUUGAUCACGGAAUCCGGGCACGAAGAAGAGGGGGUUGACCCCAUUGGGGCCUCCUUGUCGCAGACCUCAAUGGGCAAGGAGCUGCUCCUCAGCUCGGUCGUCUUUCUCUUCCUCCCCAACAGAAACGCUGACAGCAUAUUAGCGAGAAGACCUACAGGUCAGCUCACACUCACAAGGCUAAAAGAAGGGAGAGAAAGAAGGGGCGACAUACCUUCAGAGCGGAUUGGGGAAGGAGCGGUGAAAGUGACCUCGAAGGACUCGGAGUGCGAAGGUCCGGGUUAGCUUCUACAUCGACUUGUAGGCCGCAGUCGUAAAGGUUGUCGUCCACAAGGAGCGCUAGGUAAUGUCGGGCGCCCCGAGGCAGCUUGAGGAUUCUCUGGAGAUAAUCAGAUGUUAGCUCGUUUGGCCUAGGAACAAGUCGGGGAAGAGCUGCGCAAGAGCAAAUCAAAGUUAGGCACACGGAAGGCCUAAAAAGAGCUAAAGUCGUCGGCAACCAGGGAAGGGCUUUACCUAAGUAGCUGAAGCUACACGACACUUUGUUGCGCCUCUGCUUAAUAGCUAAAGGCCUCCAUGAUUCCGGUAAAGCCAGCGACGGGUGCAUCAAAAUCGACGAGGGAUGUCAUUUGCCGAAGAAGAAAGCUCAAGGAAGAAGAAAGUUCAGCCUAACAUGUGGAUGGGAAGGAGAUAAAGAGAGAGAGAAAGUUGAGCGAGAAAAGUGAGGGAGUGAGAGAAAGUUGGGAUAAAACGUUAUCUAAAUUGGAAUCUCAAUCUCCUUAAUUUUAGUAAUUUGGUAUUCAAAUUUAAAAUUUAAUCUAAAUUUGUUUCCUUAAA